rnacentral:rRNA from 1 species
AAGAGUUUGAUCCUGGCUCAGGACGAACGCUGGCGGCGUGCCUAACACAUGCAAGUCGAGCGGAGAUGCCAAGGAGCAAUCCAAGGUGUCUUAGCGGCGGACGGGUGAGUAACACGUGGGUAACCUACCCCAAGGAGGGGGAUAACAGGUCGAAAGGCCUGCUAAUACCGCAUAAAGCUUAUGUAUCGCAUGAUGCAUAAGCCAAAGGAGGAAUCCGCCUUGGGAUGGGCCCGCGGCCCAUUAGCUAGUUGGUGAGGUAACGGCUCACCAAGGCGACGAUGGGUAGCCGGCCUGAGAGGGUGGUCGGCCACACUGGGACUGAGACACGGCCCAGACUCCUACGGGAGGCAGCAGUGGGGAAUAUUGCGCAA